rnacentral:rRNA from 1 species
UACGGGGGGGCAAGCGUUGUUCGGAAUUACUGGGCGUAAAGGGCGCGUAGGCGGCCAUCUAAGUCAGACGUGAAAUCCCCCGGCUUAACCUGGGAACUGCGUCUGAUACUGGACGGCUUGAGUAUGGGAGAGGGAUGUAGAAUUCCAGGUGUAGCGGUGAAAUGCGUAGAUAUCUGGAGGAAUACCGGUGGCGAAGGCGGCAUCCUGGACCAUUACUGACGCUGAGGCGCGAAAGCUAGGGGAGCAAACGGGG